GACGAACGCUGGCGGCGUGCCUAAUACAUGCAAGUCGAACGGCUUUUCUAUGGAAAGCUUGCUUCCACUGAGAAGAUAGUGGCGAACGGGUGAGUAACACGUGGGUAACCUGCCCAUAAGAGGGGGAUAACAUCCGGAAACGGGUGCUAAUACCGCAUAGUUUUCUUGAUCGCAUGAUCGGGAAAGGAAAGACGGCCUUUGUGCUGUCGCUUAUGGAUGGACCCGCGGCGUAUUAGUUAGUUGGUGAGGUAACGGCUCACCAAGACGAUGAUACGUAGCCGACCUGAGAGGGUGAUCGGCCACAUUGGGACUGAGACACGGCCCAAACUCCUACGGGAGGCAGCAGUAGGGAAUCUUCCGCAAUGGACGAAAGUCUGACGGAGCAACGCCGCGUGAGUGAAGAAGGUUUUCGGAUCGUAAAACUCUGUUGUCAGAGAAGAACAAGUUGGAGAGUAACUGCUCCAGCCUUGACGGUAUCUGACCAGAAAGCCACGGCUAACUACGUG
rnacentral:rRNA from 1 species